rnacentral:rRNA from 1 species
CACAUGCAAGUCGAACGAACCCUUCGGGGUUAGUGGCGCACGGGUGCGUAACACGUGGGAAUCUGCCUCUUGGUUCGGAAUAACAGUGAGAAAUUACUGCUAAUACCGGAUGAUGACUUCGGUCCAAAGAUUUAUCGCCAAGAGAUGAGCCCGCGCAGGAUUAGGUAGUUGGUGGGGUAAAGGCCUACCAAGCCGACGAUCCUUAGCUGGUCUGAGAGGAUGAUCAGCCACACUGGGACUGAGACACGGCCCAGACUCCUACGGGAGGCAGCAGUGGGGAAUAUUGGACAAUGGGCGAAAGCCUGAUCCAGCAAUGCCGCGUGAGUGAUGAAGGCCUUAGGGUUGUAAAGCUCUUUUACCAGGGAUGAUAAUGACAGUACCUGGAGAAUAAGCUCCGGCUAACUCCGUGCCAGCAGCCGCGGUAAUACGGAGGGAGCUAGCGUUGUUCGGAAUUACUGGGCGUAAAGCGCGCGUAGGCGGUUACUCAAGUCAGAGGUGAAAGCCCGGAGCUCAACUCCGGAACUGCCUUUGAAACUAGGUGACUAGAAUCUUGGAGAGGUCAGUGGAAUUCCGAGUGUAGAGGUGAAAUUCGUAGAUAUUCGGAAGAACACCAGUGGCGAAGGCGACUGACUGGACAAGUAUUGACGCUGAGGUGCGAAAGUGUGGGGAGCAAACAGGAUUAGAUACCCUGGUAGUCCACACCGUAAACGAUGAUAACUAGCUGUCCGGGUUCUUGGAAUUUGGGUGGCGCAGCUAACGCAUUAAGUUAUCCGCCUGGGGAGUACGGUCGCAAGAUUAAA